rnacentral:rRNA from 1 species
UACGUAGGGGGCAAGCGUUGUCCGGAUUUAUUGGGCGUAAAGAGCGUGUAGGCGGCCAUGCAGGUCCGUUGUGAAAACUCGAGGCUCAACCUCGAGACGCCGGUGGAAACCGUGUGGCUAGAGUCCGGAAGAGGAGAGUGGAAUUCCUGGUGUAGCGGUGAAAUGCGCAGAUAUCAGGAGAACACCCGUGGCGAAGGCGG